UCGGAGCCAAGGAGGUCCUGGAAGGAAAAAAAUCAUCAUCCUUUCCAUGGCUUCCCCAACGCCACCCAGACCGACCGACCGAGGUUCAGCGCAGGAAGAAGAGACACUUAUUUCCAUUUAAAAAUGUACGAACUAGAAGAUUUUCCUAUCUGAGGGAACUACUCCAGGAUUGAAAAUUCAUGCAACCAUUGCUACUACCUGACCUGCUGUGAUGGUACGUAGGUUGCUGCCUUUGAAGACAUUGAUGGUUUAACUGCAGCUGAAGAAUAGUUGCAAACGGACGUGUAUGAAUGCCUAAGUAGUGGAGAGAAAGCAUCAUAAAGCCAUGGACAGUGGUUGAAUCAGCUUCUAGACUGGUCUGAAAACCCUAUUGUAGCCUGCAGACGGAUCAUCACAUUAUAGAAUUAUAAUUACUGCUGUAGGAGCUGUGCUGCUUGAAUCAGAGGCUCCAGAGUCUCCACAGCCCCACUUUGAUGCAGAUUCUUGCCCCGCAACCAUUCCUCCAGCUGACUGAUGUUAAACCUGGACCCAAACAACAAGCCACGAGUUACAAAAAAUGAAGUGUGUCAGACCUUGCAGCUUGCUUCUGCAAGUUGCUAAGAAAGUUUGA